rnacentral:rRNA from 1 species
GAUGAACGCUGGCGGCGUGCCUAAUACAUGCAAGUCGAGCGAACGGACGAGAAGCUUGCUCCUCUGAUGUUAGCGGCGGACGGGGGAGUAACACGUGGAUAACCUACCUAUAAGACUGGGAUAACUUCGGGAAACCGUAGCUAAUACCGGAUAAUAUUUUGAACCGCAUGGUUCAAAAGUGAAAGACGGUCUUGCUGUCACUUAUAGAUGGAUCCGCGCUGCAUUAGCUAGUUGGUAAGGUAACGGCUUACCAAGGCAACGAUGCAUAGCCGACCUGAGAGGGUGAUCGGCCACACUGGAACUGAGACACGGUCCAGACUCCUACGGGAGGCAGCAGUAGGGAAUCUUCCGCAAUGGGCGAAAGCCUGACGGAGCAACGCCGCGUGAGUGAUGAAGGUCUUCGGAUCGUAAAACUCUGUUAUUAGGGAAGAACAUAUGUGUAAGUAACUGUGCACAUCUUGACGGUACCUAAUCAGAAAGCCACGGCUAACUACGUG